rnacentral:rRNA from 1 species
GAUGAACGCUGGCGGCGUGCCUAAUACAUGCAAGUCGAGCGAACGGACGAGAAGCUUGCUUCUCUGAUGUUAGCGGCGGACGGGUGAGUAACACGUGGAUAACCUACCUAUAAGACUGGGAUAACUUCGGGAAACCGUAGCUAAUACCGGAUAAUAUUUUGAACCGCAUGGUUCAAAAGUGAAAGACGGUCUUGCUAUCACUUAUAGAUGGAUCCGCGCUGCAUUAGCUAGUUGGUAAGGUAACGGCUUACCAAGGCAACGAUGCAUAGCCGACCUGAGAGGGUGAUCGGCCACACUGGAACUGAGACACGGUCCAGACUCCUACGGGAGGCAGCAGUAGGGAAUCUUCCGCAAUGGGCGAAAGCCUGACGGAGCAACGCCGCGUGAGUGAUGAAGGUCUUCGGAUCGUAAAACUCUGUUAUUAGGGAAGAACAUAUGUGUAAGUAACUGUGCACAUCUUGACGGUACCUAAUCAGAAAGACACGGCUAACUACGUG